rnacentral:misc_RNA from 1 species
GGAUGAAGAACGCAGUGAAAUGCGAUACUUGGUGUGAAUUGCAGAAUCUCGUGAACCAUCGAGUCUUUGAACGCAAGUUCCGCCCGAAGCCAUUAGGCCGAGGGCACGCUUGCCUGGGUGUCACACACCGUUACCCUCGCGCCAACGUCCAUCGUUGGCCGCGGCACGGGGCGUGUGCUGACCUCCCGCGAGCGGGGUCUCGUGGUUGGCUGAAAAUCAAGUUCGCGGUCGAGGGUGCCGUGAUGAAAUGGUGGAUGGGCGACGCCCGAGGCCAGUCACGCGCGACUCUGUCCGGCUUAGACUCCUGGACCCCUUCGGCGUCUCCGGACGCUCUUUGGCGAGACCUCAGGUCAGGCGGGGCUACCCGCUGAGUUUAAGCAUAUCAAUAAGCGGAGGA